GAUGAACGCUAGCGACAGGCUUAACACAUGCAAGUCGAGGGACCGGCGCACGGGUGAGUAACGCGUAUCAAACCUACCCAAUACUCAGGCAUAACCCGUUGAAAGACGGACUAAUUCCUGAUGGUAUUGGACGGGGAUGCGUUUGAUUAGUUGGUUGGUGAGGUAACGGCAAACCAAGACUUCGAUCAGUAGGGGUUCUGAGAGGAAGGUCCCCCACAGUGGAACUGCGCCACGGACCAUACUCGUACGGGAGGGAGGAGUGUGGAAUAUUAGUCAAUGGAUGCGAAUCUGAACCAGCCAAGUAUCGUGCAGGGUGCCGGCGUAGGGGUUGUAAACUGCUUUUAUGGGAGGUUAGGUAUCCAAUGAAUAAGGACCGGCUAAUUCCGUGCCAGCAGCCGCGGUAAUUC
rnacentral:rRNA from 1 species